GCGGCCGGGAGGGACCGAGCGGGGAGCAAGGCCUGCGGGGAGGCGCAGGAUGGACGCGUUGGCUGUCAUGAUGUAGGACCUCCUGACCUAGAACCAUGCCCGGCGCAGGGAGAACAACGAGCUUACGGACCGGGUGCGGGGGCUGCUGUGCGAGAAAGCCUACCUGCUGGCCCGGGAGCGUUCGCCGGCCCACCUGGUGGCUUUCCCUGGACGUUUAACGGCGACUCCGCCCGGCCUCCCGACUUUUUGAUGCAGGCGUUCUCUUACAUGACUUUCUUCGAGGCUAGAUUCUCGAAAGACAUCCUGAAGGUGGCUUUCUUAAUUAGCUGCCUCACCGGCUGGCGGAGCAGUUCGUAGUCGCCUACAUCGAGAGGGAGAGCCCCGUCCUGGCUCAGUACUGGGGCUUCGUGGACGCGCUGUAGCGGGUCUUCGCCGUCGUGGGUAGGAAACAGUCGGGCCGGAUCCCCGGUGUCUGGGGAGCGGCUGCCGGCCGGGCCCGCGCGAGCCGCUUCACUCCUACAAGCCCGGCUCACUAGUUCCAAGCUGCUGGACUUUGACCCUCGCUGGGAAGCUUGAUCGCCGCCUGUUCUCGCCAAUCUCUAUGCCUUUGCACUGCCCAGCAACCCGGUCACUGCCCAGGACCUGUUAAAAGUUGAAUGGACCUCCCAGAAUCACGCCGCUGCCACCGCCGUUUCUAGAGACGGCUUUUGGCCACCUUUGAGAAUCAGGGUCAAACUUGGAAGGGCCUGCAUUUGUCACACUUCCUCGGACACUAAUUUGGAUAGUUCAGGCCCAGAGACGGCUUCCCGGAUCCUUUGCACAUGGCCUGCUAUCAACAAUCCUCUACAAUGAUUCUCAGCAUCACCUAGGGAGCUUAUGUAAAAUCUCAAAUUCCUGGGCCCUAUCCCCAGAGUUUCUUAUCAAGUCCACUCACAAAUCGCAGCUGGUAUGGACUGGUACUGCCCCAAAUAAGAGGAACCUAAGAGCUUGGCUCCAAGACCCCCCACCAUCCCGGUGGGUUUGCUUGGCCUUUAGGAUGUGUGACUACAGCUUUUGGGUAGGUACAGGGCAAUCAAGAUUGAGGAAGAACACUUCAGCAAAGCAACCAUUAUUUGUCCACAAAAACAGUGAAAAACAGUGAUAUAAAAUUAACAAACCAAAUAUAAAUCUAACGCCA
rnacentral:lncRNA from 1 species